UACAGAGGGUGCGAGCGUUAAUCGGAAUUACUGGGCGUAAAGCGUGCGUAGACGGUUAUUUAAGUCGGGUGUGAAAGCCCCGGGCUCAACCUGGGAAUUGCAUUCGAGACUGAAUAGCUAGGGUACGGUAGAGGGAAGUGGAAUUUCCGGUGUAGCGGUGAAAUGCGUAGAUAUCAGGAGGAACGCCGGAGGCGAAAGCGAGUGACUGGCGCGUUACUGACGCUGAGGUGCGAAAGCGAGGGGAGCAAACAGG
rnacentral:rRNA from 1 species